UUAAAGGUUUUGAUUGAGAGAAGUAAAUUCAUUAUCCCUGUUUAAGAGAGCUGAUGGUUGGUGAAAAUCAGUGCAUAUAAAUGAAUUGAAUUACCCUCAUGAACCGCUUUGACGAACAGGCGAUGCCUUAUUAGUAAAAGAACGGAAGCAUUCCGUUAUCGUAAUUGAGUGUUAAGAAUGGCUAUUCAUUCUUUUCAGUAGGGUGGUACCGCGAUAAAUGAUCGUCCCUUCG
rnacentral:ncRNA from 1 species